AACCUGACGCAGUUCCAACUGUGCAUGCAAUCUCACAAGCAGUUAAAGCACCACUAUCUCAAACUCGAACUGCAUAUGAAAAGAGAGAAAGACAUAGGACAUUAGAAGAUAUUAUUAAGGAGCCAUAUUCCCAAUGCACUGAAAACAUUGAAGUACAAACAACUGAGAGUUCAUCAAUCUCAUCUCCGCCAUCAAUCAAUAACAAUAACAUAGAAAAUCUUCUCAAAGAAUUGAAAGAUGAUCAGUCAUUGGC